GCUUGAACAAGGGUGUGGAGUUUGUGGUAUUGAUCUUUUGUGUUCUUGAUUCUACAAUCAAGAGAGGCUCGUUGAAAAGAUUGUGAAAUUCUUAGCUUGGACCUGAGGUAGCAAAUAGGAUUUCUCUAUGGCACGCGUGGUGACGUGAGGAGUUCUUCAUCAUGGGGUGUAUGGCGUGGGGCAAUCCUAUGGACGAUAAAACGAUCAACGUAGAACGCCAUUUAAAUUAUGUUUUGUUUUAAGGGACUUUUCCUAAAUUAUCAGUGGGACUCUGUUAUUUAACUUAAUUGGUUUUCUUUGAACUUUGCAUAAAAAAUCUAUGUUUUAUUUUA